UAUCUGUGUUUUGUUAGAAGGCCUUUGGCCCUUAAGUUUUAAUGAGGCAUCUUGGUUUGUUUUCAAGGAGUUGUAUGUCUUUUAAAAUAAAUAAAUAGUUUGUAAGAAUUAGCUCUUGUGUGUGUGUGUGUGUGUGUAAAAGAGGUGCAUUUAUAGCAAAAAGCUGAAAUGCAUGUUGUGGGAGGGGGAAAAAAAUCCUAAAAAAAAAAAAAGUGCUUACAAUAAAACAAGCAGGACUAGUUCAGACAUGUUUGAGUAUAAUACAGUUAGUAUGGAGAUAUACUUAUCUCAUAGACCUGCCUUUACUAGCAGGAUCAAAUAUUGAUUUUUGCCCCAGGUCCCUACAACUCUGGGUUUACCAGGCCAUUACUCAAACCACUAAGAGCUGUUAGCAACUAUUUGAAAAAACAAUGGGGAUAAGAGGCUAUAAAAAUCUUAGGUAUUCUGGAGUCUGUCCUUUUAACAGAAAACCUUCUUGGAUAGCUGCUGGACUCAAAAAGAGGUAAGACUUUGUGUCCUUAACUUUGAAAAUAUAAUGCCACUUUUUGCCCAUGCUGUCUUUUAGUAAAUAAUGGUGCCUAUAUGUAUUGCAGGGUGAUCUGUUUAGCAUGGAACCAGGCCAAGGCCCAAACACACAUGGGGGGGAACAGAACAACCAUGUCCCUGCAACACUUUAUCCCAUAGUGAAAGUACUGUCAAAACAUGAGAGAUUCUUAGACCAGAGGGAAAACAAGCUCAAAAGAAAAAGGAAGGAGACAGAUGAAAAGGAAAAUUCACCAGCAUCAGUGACUGAUAGAUGGAUGAAGCCCAGCAUGGGCAACCUUUCUGAAAAU